rnacentral:lncRNA from 1 species
AAUAAAAGAAGAUAUGAAAACAUAAUCUGCUAUGGAAACAUGAUCAAUUCUACAUUCAACAUAAUUAUGGAAACUGCAAGUCAACAACAUCUAAAUAAUAUUUGAAUCAGUCUGCAAAAUCUCUACCACAUGAAAAUCUGACAACUGUCUGAAACUGGGACAAGGCCCCCAGUAGACCAAAUCUGAAAUACGUGACAUAAUCUGAAAAGACAGGCCUUCUGGAAUAGAAAAGGCUCACCACUGCACAAUCUGAUCAGCUAUCUGAAUUAUUUACUGCUUAUCUGGACCCCUAGACUGUGCCUCAGAACCUGAGAGGUUUGAGGGGGAGGGGGUCAAUACAGAUGUACUGGUACGUAAAGCAUAUCCAAAAUAAUCAUUUAUUAUCCAACAUAUAUGAGAGCAAUUUAAAACAGUUCAUGAGUAUAUCAUAUAGUAAGAAUUCACAUGGGCAUUUUAAAGACUAUAAAAAUCAUCACAACUCUGAGAAAUCUGUGUUACUUCUGUGCUAGGUGGUAUACCCUACAACUCUGAAAAAUUUCAUGGGCUAUAUGGAAACUGCCAUUAACUCAGCAGCGAAGCCCCCAACCCAAGUGUGCCACAAGGGUCGGAGUCUCUGAAUCUACUACUCCACACGGUCGUCACUAGCGUACAAUAAUAAUCUACCCGUAUCGGCAAAUACAGUUUCAGGCUAAGAGUUGCUUGAACUCGAGCCAUCUUCGGGUAACCACCUAUCCCUCUGUAAGCCCCUUCUUAAAACUCUAUCAAAAUAUACAGUCUCUGAAAACAUAAUCUCUUAUGGCAUAAAUACAUAUGGUAUCGUCAUACCAUUAACUUGCAAUUCACAUCUCUGAGCUAUUAUUAAUCUAUCAUAAAUCUCUGUAUUCAAAACAAGUUUUGAGACCAUCAUUUCAAUAAUUCAAUUCAAUGAAUUUUUUCUUCUCAAUCCUCAUGUAAACACAUGCAAUUUUUUAUCAUACCCACAAGAACAUAUUGAUAUCAAGAAACACCCUCUCAACAAUUCCAAAUCAUGUUUAAAUGCUAGGAUAUAGCAAAAACAUCUUUGAAAUCACAAAACCAUAAUUCUUUAAAUCAAUACAAGAGAGGGAGUUCAUAAUUUAUGCUCUCAACAAUCUUAAAUCUCAAAUUCAUACAUAUACAUAUAUAUAUGUAAAGCAAUCUAGGGGAAAAGACCACAAGGCCAAAGCAAUAGUAGCAUUGAAACUUCCGUAAAGCAUAAUCAAUAAUAUAGUUUUCAAAACCCCCAUAAAAUACAUGCAUCAAAACCUUUAAAUCAUGCUCUAACAAUUUCAAGCCCAUGUAGGUUUUUAGGAUAAACCCCACGUACUUCUAUUUCGAAGAAUAAUGAAUGAUUCUUGAAGCUUACGGAUUGGGAAUUCCAAAUCUCUAAUUAUCUUCAAAAACUCACCGUUGAAUCUUGAGUUACGAGGAUUUUUAGUUUGAAACCCUAAUGGAGUUUCUUGAGAGAUUUUGAUGAAAAUAAUCUUACUUUGGUGUUCUUGGGAUUAAAUCUCGUGUUAGAGAUGAUAAGGGUUGGACAAGUACCAUUUUACCCUUAAUGAGAUGGAGUAAAAAUAUAACUGGUGCUUGAUUUUAUGGGCCACCGUGAUCUGCCACUAUCGCGGUGGCUCACUGGAAAUUGACGAAUGCGAAAUUGAGAUCCUCCAAGACGCGCCACUAUCGCAAGGUCCCACUGGAAUUUUACAAUUGCUAAUUAAACCAUCUCUGCGACGCGCUAAAUAGCAAAAUGACGAUGUUUUACGACUAGCACAUAAAAUAGCCAUAACUUCUUCACCGAGUGUCUGUUUUGGACGAAUCUUAUAUCGACAGAAAGCUUCUUCAGUCAUCUACGUAAUGAAAAGUUGAAAUCUACGAAAUUCCAUAGGGAAAUAAGUGUAAAUCAUUCUAGAAGACAAAGCGUGACACUUUAGGGACAAAAUUUAGCUAGGAAAAGUUUGGGGGCGUUACAGUUUUCCAGCUUAUUAGUAUAGAUGAUUCAGUAUUUUCAGAUAGUUCGAGUCAGCUGGGGGUUUGUCCCAGUGACUCUCUAGUUAUUUAUAUUAGAAGCUUGUCAGACUGCUAGAUUUGCUUCAGAUUUUCAGUAUUGAUUUAUCAAACUCUUGAGUUAAACAUUUUCAGAUAUUAUAUUUAGAUACUUUCAGCUUAGCCCAUAUAGAAUUCCACAUUUUAGCUUGAUUAUAUAUCUAUACUUCCCUAUUAUGAGUUUCAGAUUUAGUGGAUGGCUUACAGGAUUAACUUAAGGCUACUCGUAGUCUUGAACACCGUGUGACGUCUCGGGACUUAUUUUCGGGGCAUUACAUAUUGCAACACCCCCAAAAUCCAAGAUAUGAUUAGAACCAUAAUUCAAGUACAUGUGGAAUCAAAUUCAUAUUUUGAUAGUAUGAGAAGUGAUUUAAACAUAUAUUAAGGCCACAAGUAACUCUUAGCUCAUAACCAAGUCAAAACCUCUCUUAUUGAUUUCUUGUAAAGAAUCUUGCUAUAGUCAAUUUCAAAUGAGUAUAACUCAUGGAUUCUAACGUGUUUUUGAUCUCAAGAACCCCCAAAUGAAAGAUAUUUGAAUUAUCUUUCCAACUCAUACAGUUUUGUACUAAUUCGAUAUUGGAGUAAAAAGUUAUGGCCAUAUUAGUGAAGCAUUGUCAAAGCUAUCAACGAUGGGCCGUCAAAAGACCUGACAGGCCAUGGGAAGACUCCAUGUGCCAGGAGGAGGUUCAUGUCCACUUCUAAAAGAAAGUAUAAAACAAUUCCUAAAUGACAAUCCGAGCAAUGACCCAUAGCCAGGUCCCACAAGCUGUCAUUUGAGACAUCGAAGUGAACUCCAACAUUUUUCCAUACAGCUUUAAAGGGGUUGUUUUGUAUUUUUCCAUUCUUUUAACAUCAAAACUAUGUAUUUUAAGUUAUUUCAAGGUUUAUUAUUAAGUCUAAAAUUAUGAAAAUUUCUUUAUUACUCAGGAAUCAGUAGACACUUUGUAAAAACACAGAGAAAGAGGUGAUUUACUUUUCUUAAGGCAGAAUUAGGGUUCUUUAACUUCAAGCUCCAAGUUCAAAUAUUUCUUCAAGACUCUUUUCACCAGGUAUGUGGAAUUUCAUCAAGGGGUUUCCCUGUACCCGUUGAGUCCCAACGUUAAUUACAAUCCACAAUUUAAUCUUUCUUCAGAGUGUAGGGUUUAUGAAUAAUGUAAAAUCCUUUGUAUUAUAGUGUUCCUUCAAAAUGUUGUUUAUCUCCAUGUUUUCAUUGAAAGUUCAUAUCUUUACAUGUAUGAAUUCAUGAUUCUCAGUACAUAAUUUAUGGGUUUUGGCUUGAGUAUGAAUAUUCCCUUUUCUCCAUUUGAUCAUUGAAUUGUCAUAAGAGUUGCAUUCUACAGAGAUAGCGAUUUAUGAACACCCAAUGGCCUAGGAUUUCAUGCAUAUAUUCAAUCCCUCAGUUUUCAUGAUUUGAAUAUUUUUGGAUAAAGUAAUCAUUUUUUGUCUUCGAAAUAUUUAUAUUAUUGAGCAUUCCAGCUAUUAGUUAUUAUUCAGUUGGGAAUAGUACUUAGCACCGAUCGAAUGUAGGGAUGAAUAUUCACUUGUUAGUUAGGUUGAGACCUUUAGUAGAAGUCCCAGAACUAAAGCACCACCAUAGGUUCUAAAGGGCCACCCAUCAUACCAGGCUUGAUACCCUAGUCCUUUUAGACAUCAGUUUUGUGGAUCCACGUCAGUUAGUGUUCGUACCCUUGGCAAGGUACUGAAUACCCAUACUGCUGGGGUUACAGGAUGGACCCUUAUUAGCUCAAAUUGUGGUAUUUUAGUUAACAAUAACUCUCACAUUCCACAGUUCAGCUUUAGAUAGUUGCAUGACCUUGUAUUCAAUUCUUCGACAUAUCAUACAACACAUGUUUAUUACUUGGUCUUGCAUCAGUUUAUCAUAAUACAUGCAUUAUGUCUAUCUAUAUCAGUUAUUUCCUAUCUCACAUACUCAUUACAUUCAAAUUACAGAUAACAUACUUGUCUUUGCGUUUUAUUGUCUUAUAAUAUAGGUUCAGAUAUUUAACAUCUGAAUCAUGUAUAGUACAGUUCCGCACCAUAUCAGCAGUAGCAUUUGGUGAGUCCUCAUCAUUCGAGGGCCAGUUAUCAACAUUUUUUAGUAGUAUUUUAGUUUCAAAUAGUCAGGAUUAGUUGGGGGCUAGUCUGAGCAACUAAUUUUAUUAGAAGCUUUCAGACUGUCAUCUAGAUUAUGUUUGCAGCUCUAUGAGUUUUAUUCAAAUAUAGUCACUUGAGCUUGUGGCCAAAUUUAUUAUUCAGAUUAUUAUUUUCUACAUUAGUGAUUUUCAGUUUAUUUCAGUAUUUGGAGUAACAACAACUAUAGGGGCAUCAAGUUAUUGAGUCAUACUAUGAAGGUUUGGGAAAGGGUGAUAGAGUUAAGGAUGAGGAGGAUCGUGAAUAUUUUCGAGAAUCAAUUUGGAUUCAUUCGAGAUAGUUUGAAUACUGAGGCCAUUCACCUCAUGGAGAGAUUAAUAGAGCAAUUUAGGGAGAGAAAAAAGGAUUUGAACAUAAUAUUCAUUAAUCUUGAGAAGGCGUAUGACAAAGUUCCUAGAGAGAUUCUGUGGAAGUACUUGGAGGCUAGAGGCAUGCCCGUGGAGUAUAAUAAGUCGAUUCAAGACAUGUACUAUGGUGCGAAGACUUGUGUGAAGACAAUAAGAGGAGAUUUGGAUCACUUUCCUAUUUUGAUAAGGUUGCACCAGGGAUCAACUCUUAGCCCAUAUUUAUUUUCUUUAGUGAUGCGUGUUUUGACGUGAUGUAUUUAAAGGGAGGUUCCUUAGUGCAUGCUAUUUUAUGAUGAUGUUGUACUGAUUGAUAAGACUUGAGAAGGAGUUAAUAAUAAGUUGGAGGUUUGGAGACAGACAAUUGAGUCCAAAGAACUUAAGUUGAGUAGGACCAAGGUGGAGUACUUGGAGUAUAUGUUUAGUGAUUUGUCGCUUGAGGCUGACAUGGUGGUGAAGCUGAAUUCUCAGGCCAUUUAGAAAAAAGAAAGUUUCAAGUAUCUUGGGUCUAUGAUUCAAGGAAAUAGCGAGAGUGACGAGAAUAUCACAUAUCGUAUUAGUGCAGGAUGGUUGAAAUGAAGGCUCGCUUCAGAGGUUUUGCUUGAUAAGAAGGUGCCUAAGUUCUACAGAGCAGCAUUCAGAUCAGCUACGUUGUAUGGAGCGAAGUAUUGGGAAGUUAAGAACUCCUGCAUCUAAAAGUUGAAGGUGGUGGAUAUGAGGAUAUUGCGAUGAAUAUGUGGACUUACCAGGAAAGAUAGGGUUAGAAAUGAGAUUAUUCGGGAGAAGGAGGGAAUGGUUUCGGUAGAGGACAAGAUGCGAAAAGUGAGCUCGCGAUGGUUCGGGCAUAUGAUGACGAGGGGAACAGAUGAUCCAGUUUGGAGGUGUGAGAGGCUGGCUAUGGAUAGUUUUAGGUGAGGUAGAGAUAGGCCAAAGAAAUAUUGGAGGAAGGUUGUAAUACCCCGGAUUUCCCUACCCUAGAUUAACACUCAGGUCAUGGGUUAUCCUAAAUAAAAUAUUUGGAAUACUUAGUAAUUUUUAGAUUUGAGCCUGUAAUUGCGUAGGAAAUCCAAUUAGCUUUUCAACGAUAUAAAAUUUGCCUAAAUCCGACAAACGGGUAAGAAGUUAUGGCGAUUUUAAGUUUCAAUCGUUAAACAUCAUCAUUCAGGCAAGUAGCGCGUUGCGGAGUGUGUCAAAAUAGCACUUGUUAGUUUCAAGUGUUGCUCCGCGAUGUUGGCGCGUCACUCCAUAGACCCAGUUCACAAUUGUCAACUUCCAGUGUGCCAACGUGAUCCCACCGCGUCGCGGUGCACUUCCAGUUCACAAACAAAGUGGCAACACAAUACCACUGCUUUGCGCAACCAUGCAAUUUUCCAGUAAUCAUUUUCCAAUGGCCCGGCAUGAUAGCAGCGCAUCGCGCUAGGGAUCCAAAUCGGAAAAAUUUCACGAAAACUUAAAGUUGCGCGCAGGGUUAAAACAGUCUUUUUCCAUGAUUUUAUUCCGCUCAAAUGUGGGAUUUAAGCCCUAAAAAUAUGUAAAACCCUUCAUUAUUCACUUUUCCCCAAAAUCAAAAGGUAGUUCUCUCUCAAGAAAACAAAUCCUAGCUCUCAAGAAUCAAGGUCACUCCCAAGAAUUUCUCCAAGAACUCAUCAAAUUAAGGUAUGUUAGAUGUUCAUUCAUGGAUCCUUACCUUUCAUAGAGACCAAGAAUCCUUUUUCAAUAUACAAGAUUUAUGAUUUAUGAUUUCCAUGUUUGAAUUAGAUUGAAUUCAUGUUCAUGAUGUUGUUUGAGUUUUAAUCCAUGAUUAGAUUACGAGUUCCAAGAAUUGACUCUAGCAUGUGUUGAAUUACAUAAUAAUCAUGAUAAACCCCUCAAUUUGCAAGUUGAUUAUUGUAACCAUGUUAACCCUAAGUGUUUAUGAUCUAAUGAACCAAGUAUGCUUCUUAUGUGUUUGAUAAAUUGUCUGUGUGAAUGAAAUAGUGUCAUAUAACAUGCUAACAUGUAUUUCCCAUUUAUGUACAAGUUAAUGCAUUACAAGUGCUUGAUGGAAUGUCUCUAUGAUUGAAUUAUGACCAAUUGAACAUUGUUAUGUUAUUCAAGAUUAUGCUUUUCUUUAAUUUUUAUCAGUGAUCCCAGAUUAUCAGUAUAUUCAGUUAUCAGUUAUCAUAUUUAGUUCCAGUAUACUCAGUCACAAUAGGCACAGUAUGUUCAAUAGUUACAAAUCUUCCAUGUAUGCUAAUCCAGCUCUUGCAUAUUAUUCAAUUAGUUAUUAUUCAUGCAUAUGAACCUAUGCAUUCAGCCUUACCUCAUUUAGCAUACCAGUACAUUCACACAUACUAACUGCAUACCCGUUUCUUACGCUAUGAUGUUUCAUAUCAUAGGUUCGGACGCUCAAGCUCCUUCCGCGCUUAGCCAGAUUCAGCCAGCAGUAGCAGAUUUAGCAAUGAAUUCUCAUCUAUCGAGGAUAUACUUUUAUUUUAGUACUUCAGCUUAGCAGUAUUUUAGUAGAUGGAGUUAGUUGGGGGAUUGUCCCAUCAACUCCACUUUUAGACAGAUUUAGUUAGAGGCUUUUCAGACUAGAUUUUCAGACAGUAUUCAGAUUUAGAUGUUAUUAUAUUUUAUCAGUAUUUUAGAUGCUUUGAACCUUAUGUCAUUUCAGCCCAUUAUUUCAUAUUUAUUUCAGUAUUAUUGUUCAGUGCUAACAGCAGAUAUCAUUCAUGGGUUAGCUUAUGGUCCUUCGGGGUCGCAAGCACAGUGUAACGACUAGGGGAUAGUCUCGGGCCGUUACAAACUUGGUAUCAGAGCCUAAGGUUCAAUAGUGUCCUAGGGAGUCUGAAAAGUCGUAUCGCGUAAAGUCUUAUUCAUGGGUGUAUAGCACACCACACUUAUAGAUCGGGGGCUAUGGGAUGUUUUAGGAAAAAUUUCCCUUCUUUCAGUAUUCAUGUCGUGUGAGUGAGCAUGAGCUCAAGUUAAUCUCUUAGUCUAAUCCGCCCUAUCAGUUACAAGAUGUAGCCCAUACGUGGUUUAAGUAGUGGAAGGUAGACAGGGGUAUAGAUACAGAGCCCAUAGAGUGGGAAGAGUUUGCUACUGUCUUUCUAGACAGAUUUUUUCCCUUAGAGCUGAGAGAAGCCAAAAUGUUAGAGCUCAUCAAUCUCAGACAAGGUUGUAUGAGCGUAAAAGAGUAUUCCUUCAAGUUUACUCAGUUAUCCAGGUAUGCUCCCCAUGUAGUAGCUGAUAAUAGGUCCAGAAUGAGCAAGUUCAUAUUUGAGGUGUUAGAUAGUGUGGUCAAGGAGUGCAGAACAGCGAUGUUGAUUAAGGAGAUGGAUAUAUCUAGGCUUAUGGUCCAUGCUCAACAGAUUGAGGAGCAGAAGCUUAAGAAGAAGGAGAGAAAGAAGGGCUAGAACAGGUAGCUUUAAUUUCAGUCAGCCUAAGUCAGAAGGCGGUAACUGUUCCCAAUUUCAUCCAAAGUCUUCAGUCCCAGGUCCAUCCUCAACCAGUAUACCGAUGACCCAGGAUAGCAUAAGCAAUGGUCGUACUAAUUCGUUUUGUGGAGAGUGUGGUAAGAAUCAUAAGGGUGUGUGCAGAGUUAGAAGUGAUGUUUGUAUCGGGUGUGGCAAGCCAGGCCACAGAGUCAAAGAUUGUCCUCAGUCAGGUUCUCAGGGUCAGUAUAGUCGUCGUUCAGCUUAGUCAGGUCACCCAAAUCAACAAGGUGCCACUUCCAGUGCCACCAGUGGGCAACGCCUAAACAAGUUUUACGCACUUCAGUCCAGAUAAGAUCAGGAAAGUUCUCCUGGUAUGGUCACUGGUAUGUUACGGAUCUCUCAUUUACAUAUUUAUGCCUCAAUUUUAGAUCCCAGAUAUUCAGUCACGAUUUAGUUCAUCGGUUCCCCGUGCAUUGUCUCAUGCUUUUCCUUAGUAUCUCAGCUAAGUCAGCAUUCUCGAGGGACAUAGUGUUCCAAGGGGGGGAUGCACUAUAACCCCCAAGCUAUCAUGAUCUAAACCUUCCAUUUUCUCUUCACGUAGCAAAUCCAGUUGAAGUAAUAGGUCCUUAUAGUUGACCCUCAAGUCCCAAGUUCAGCCGUAUAACCAUCCCCCUGUUAUGAACACGUAUCCAAGGAAUCAAUUCAGUUCAUGUAUCAUGAUUCAGACUUAGUCAUAUCCCCAUGUUCCCGUUCAUGUAUAUUCAGUCACGUAUUCAUUAAUCCGUUCAGACAUAUACUCAUGCAUCAGACAUGCAUGUUCAGAAUGUAAGUUCAGUCUAUCAGACCAGUCACGUAAUCAUGCUUCAGUUGUCCAUGUCUAGUUUAGUACGUAAACUCAAUCUGUUCGUACUCUCUCAGCUUAACUAGCCACAUUCGAGGACGAAUAUUCCCAAUGGGGAGAUAUUGUAAUACCCCGUAUUUCCCUAGCCUAGAUUAACCCUCAGUACAUUGGUUAUCCUAAAUAAAAUUUUUGGAAUACUUAGUAAUUUUCAGAUUUGAGCCUGUCAUUGCUUAGGAAAUUCAAUUAGCUUUCCAACGAUAUAAAAUUUGCCUAAAUCUGACAAUCGGGUAAGAAGUUAUGGCGAUCUUAAGUUUCAAUCUUUAAACAUCGUCAUUCAGGCAAGUAGCGCAUCGCGAAGUGUGUCAAAAUAGCAAUUGUCAAUUUUCAAUGUUGCUCCGUGAUGUUGGUGCGUCGUGCCAUAAACCCAGUUCACAAUUGUCAAUUUCCAAUGUGCCAAUGCAAUUCCACCGCCUCGCGAUGCACUUCCAGUUCACAAAUAAAGUGGCAACGCGAUACCACCACGUCACGCCACCAUGAAAUUUCCAGUUGUCAUUUUCCAAUGGCCCAGUGCGAUAGCGGCGCGUCACGCCAGGGGUCCAAAUCAGGAAAAUUUCACGAAAACUUAAAGUUGCGCCCAGGGUUAAAACAGUCGCCCAGGGUUAAAACAGUCUUUUUCCAUGAUUUUAUUCCGCCCAGAUGUGGAAUUUAAGUUCUAAAAAUGUGUAAAACCCUUCACUAUUCACUUUUCCCCAAAAUCAAAAGUUAGGUAUCUCUCAAGAAAACCUCUCAAGAAUCAAGGUCAAUCCCAAAAAUUUCUCCAAGAACUCAUCAUAUUAAGGUAUGUCAGAUGUCCAUUUAUGGAUCCUUACCUUAUCUAUCUAUCCGCCGCCGGGACGAUCGUCCACCAUUUGGACGGUACGCAUCACCGGCAGGCAAGUAUAUCCUCUCCAAAAGCAAGAACCUUCAUCCAUACCAAGUAUCGCCUCACAAUCUUUAUAGAUGAACCUCUACUCUCUUCUCUUUUCAUCAAUUCUACCAUAAAUUGAAUUCCCUAAUCAGUGUUUUGGUCAAAUUACUCCGGCAUGAUAGAUCGGGUAGCUAACCAAUCCCUUGGCCUUGGUCAGCCAUCAUCAAUUGUAUUAGCUACUACCUCUCCAGUUAAUUUUCCAGAGUUAUAUCACCCAUGUGCGUCAAAAAAAUCCCAACAAUGUCCCACGGAUGCUAAGGUUGAUAAUCCUCAACAAAGUCCUAAUCUGACCCAAAAACCCCUUAUUGUGGAUGAUGAGCAAAAUGACCAGUCCAAGAAAAUGAGGUAUGCUGAUUUGUUGAAAUCCAAAACCUCAUAAAGGAAUGCUUCAAAUGUUGCAGGUACGCCAAUACAAAUGAAACCUGUAAUAUAUAAUGAUGGAAUCCCUCGAGUAACCUGGACAGAAGAAGUACAAAGAAUGAACGUCUUGGAGAAUUUACAAUUAGCUAUUAUUGGAAAAUUCUCCUAUGGUUGGCCAGAAUUGGAAGAUCUAAGAGUGCAAAUACCAUCACAAUGCAAAAUUAAAGGUGAGUGCAAAAUUGGGCUUCUCCGUAAUAGACAUAUAUUGAUGAGAUUUAAUCUAUUGGAGGAUUAUGUCAAUAUGCUAUCCAAAAAUGUCUAUUAUAUCAUUGCAAAAAAUGGGCUGGCUUACCAGAUGUGCCCUCUAAUUUAUGAUGUAAAUUUUAAGCCAGAAGAAGAAACUACUCAAGCUAUGGCAUGGAUCUCUUUUCCUGAUCUAUUACCUACCUUUUAUGGUAAGGAAUCUCUAUUUUCAUUGAAAUCAUCAAUUGGUAAACCCAUCUAGUUGGACAUGGCUAUAAUCAAUAAAACUCAUCCUAGUUGUGCAAAAGUUAAAGUCUAGGUGGAUCUUGCCAGGAAAUUGCCGAAGGUUGUUGAAAUAGAAGUAGUGAACAAGAAGACUACAGGGUCGAGUGUUCAAUCUAUAAGAGUCCAAUAUGAUAUGCUACCUAAAUAUUGUCAUGCAUGCAAAUUGCAAGGUCAUGAUGGAGAUGAUUGCAGAACAUUGCACCUAGAACUGAGACCAAAAAGAAUUUACUACAAGACAGAAGAGGAAGACAAUGAUCAAAAUGAGGAAAACAACAAGACUCCAGUGCAAAUAAGAUACAUUUAUGGCAAAGUGGUCUACGUCAAAUGGAAUCCCACCAAGAGAUUGUUCAAAAUGGAGAGAGGGAUAAUGAGCACAGCAACAGAACCUCAACAAGGUAAGGGAGUUAGUAUAUCAAACCAUUUUGGAGUACUGCAAGCCAGUGAAAAGGAGGGCAGCCAUGGGUUGGAAGACAAAGAAAAGAAUGCAAACUCACCUAAGGAGGUUACUGAAACAGCCCACCAAAAACAUGUGCAUCAACAACUAUCCAAUAGAGGCAGAAUGCAGGAAGAAAAAAAUGUCAAAGCUCAACCAAAUCAGGUACAUGGCUUCACAUAUCAACGUAAUAAUGCCACGGAGAUUACAGACACUACAGAUAUGGCAGACAAGGAUAAUGGCAUUAUUGAAGGAAAAUCCAGCAGCAGCAGAGCAGAGAUAGAUGACAGUAGGGCAGAUAAACAAAAUUUAUCUGAACAAUACAAAAGUGGUGGCAUGGAAAAUGAGGAACGGAGUUUGGCUGUCACCAGAAAAAUUGGUGAGAUUAAUCAAAGCAUCCAUGAGAAUACACUACCAGUUGAGGAUUUCAUUGAUCAAGAGUAUCAAUUAUCCAAUGCAACUUAUCAUGAACCUUUGAACGUAGAUACCACUUUGGCUGCUGUAAACAUUGCUGAGGCCACUAGCCGAUUCCCAACUGAAAAUGCAAUUAAAAUGAAUGACUCGAUAGCAACAGAAGAGAUGCAAGCUUUGGUUACCUUGCCAAUCCCAAUCCAGGAAGCUCGGACUUCACCACCUAUUAAGAAGCUUCAUGACAUAGUAUCCCACAACUGUAGUGACAAGAUAAAAGAGGAAAAGAAGUCUAAUUUUGAUGACAGCAGUAGGGAAGAUAAGGAAGAAGAGAAUAAUUGUCAGAAUCUCCAGGAAAUUAUGAAGUUAGCAGGAUCAUCACCAACUUUAUAGCCAAAUGCAAAGAAAACGAAAGGCAAAUCAGAAGUACCACAAGCUAAGAGAGUAUUGCCUAAAAGGGGUUCCAGAUCAUUUGCUAAAUGACUAUGAAAAUGUUAUUUUAGAACAUCAGGUCUGUGAGGACCUUCCAUGCUUUUCACAGGGUUCAAAUGCUUCAUAAGCAUCAUAAAUUCAGUUUUGUAGCCUUAAUGGAACCAUUCCAAGAAACCAGUCAGUUGCAGAAAUAUGAGGAAAUUGAGGAUGGAAUAUGCUAAUGCUAAUGUAAAUGGGAAGAUAUGGAUUUUUGAUAAUAACAACAUCCAAGUUGACGUACUGGAUGAUUCUGAACAGCAACUCACUACCAAAUUAAAGUUCAUGGAUAAUAAUAAGGAACUUGUAAUCAUAUCUGUUUAUGCUAAAUGUGAGACUACCCAAAGAAUUGAUCUGUGGAAUGAUAUUUAUGGAAUCUGUAAUAGCAUGUCACUUCCAUGGCUUGUGGGUGGGGAUUUUAAUGUUAUUAUUGAUGCUGAAGAGAAAAUUGAAGGGCUACCAGUGUAUCCACAAGAAUACAAAGACUUUGUUUUUUGUAAAAAUUCAUGUGGCUUACUUGAUAUUAAGUUCAAAGGGAGUCCAUUCACAUGGUGGAAUGGAAGAGCUGAAGCAGAGUGCAUCUUCAAGAGACUUGAUAGACUGCUUAUUAUUCAACAAUUUUUUGAUUUUCCUGGUAAGGCUGAGUUAGAACAUUUGGCAAGAACUGGAUCUGAUCAUGCUCCUCUUUUACUUACAUGUGGUGGGCUGGAAAAGCAGGAUAACAGGCCUUUCGGAUUUCUAAAGAUUUGGCUGAUACUGAAGGCUUCAUUGAGGUAGUUAAAAAUGCUUGGGAGUCUAAUACUCAUGAGGAUGUGUUCAUCAACUUCAAGGUAAAAAUGAAGAUGAAAAAAUUAGCUCUAACAAAAUGGAGUAGAGAGAAGCUAGGAUACAUUUUUCAGCAACUAGCAAUCAGGGAAGAAAUCGUGAAAAUAAAAGAAGCGUUAUUCGAAGAGUUUCCAACUGCGGCAAAUAGGGUUGUUUUGAGACAGGCACAAGCUGAAUUAGUAAGGUAUUUGAAGAUGGAGGAGGAUUAUUGGAUGCAAAAGACUGGUAUUCAAUGGUUCUCAGAAGGAGAUCGUAAUACCAGGUUUUUCCAUAGCAUGGUAAGAGGUAGACGCAACAGAUCGAACGUUAACAGGAUUCAGAAAGAAACUGGUGACUAGGCAGAAGGAGAACAACAGGUUGCAGCAGAAGCCAUUAGCUUUUUUCAAGGAGAAAUUCACUACUCAGUUAAUUGCAAAUGAAUACUCUUUGUUGGAAAAUAUUCCAGACUGUCACAAAAGUUGACAACAGAGGUUUAAACGGUUUAUGUCCAGAAGAAGGGAUCAAAGGUGCUGUUUUUUAACUUAAUGGUGAUAGUGCUUGCGGUCCUGAUGGAUUCAAUGGAUUAUUCUACCAAAGGACUUGGGAGUUCAUACGAAAAGAUGUGUGUGCAGUUAUUAAUGCGUUCUUUCAAGGUCAGACUCUUCCUAAAUCAAUUACCCAUUCAAACUUGGUCUUGAUUCCAAAAAAAGAAGCCUUUCAAUCUUUCGCGGAUUUUAGACCUAUAAGUCUUAGUAAUUUUAUUAAUAAGAUUAUAUCAAGAAUUUUACAUGGUAGGUUGGACAAUUUUCUUCCAAAACUUAUCUCUCAAAAUUAAUCUGGUUUUAUAAAAGGAAGGAGUAUCUCUGAAAAUGUCCUGUUGGCUCAAGAAAUCAUCACUGAUAUCAGAAAAAGGGGUAAACCUGCCAAUGUGGUAUUUAAACUUGAUAUGGCUAAGGCGUACGACAGACUUGAAUGGUGCUUUUUAGUUAAGGUUUUGGAAAAAAUGGGUUUUGAUAAAGGAUUUAUCGAUAAAAUUUGGAGAUUGCUUUCUAAUAACCGGUAUUCUAUCUUGAUUAAUGGCCAGUCACAUGGCUUCUUUCAUUCGACUAGAGGUGUGAAGCAGGGUGAUCCUUUAUCAACUGCCCUUUUUAUUAUGGCUGCGGAAGUGUUAUCUAAAAACUUAAAUGACUUGUUUUAUAACAAAGAUUUUAAGAGUUUUGGAAUGCCUAAAUGGAGUGAGCCAAUUAAUCACCUCUCGUAUGCAGAUGACACCAUCAUCUUCACAUCUGCAGACAAGAGAAGUAUGCAGCUGAUUAUGCAUAUUCUUUCUACUUAUGAACUACAAUCUGGCCAAAAGAUAAACAAAGGCAAAAGUUUGUUUUAUGUACAUAAUAAAGUUGCAGGAAGUAUUGUUCAUGACGUUGAAGAUAUUAAUGGUUUUAUCAAAGGUAAGUUCCCUUUCAACUACCUGGGAUGUCCUAUAGGUCAUGCUAAGAAAAAGAAAGUUUAUUUUGCAGAAUUGGUGAAAAAAGUUCAUAACGUUUUGCAAUCUUGGAAAGGCAAACUUCUGUCUUUUGGUGGUAAAUAUGUCCUUAUCAAGAGUGUAUUGCAAAGCAUUCCUAUUUACCUUCUUACAGUUAUUUCUCCUCCUAAGUGUGUCUUACAUGAUCUCUAUAGAGUUUUUGCAAAAUUUCUAUGGAACUUCAAGGAAGUAAGUAGGAAUAAACACUGGGUAUCUUGGCUAGAUAUGUGCUUACCCAAAGAGGAAGGAGGGCUAGGAUUUAAGUCUUUCUUUGAUGUUUCAAAAGCCCUCUUUGCUAAGUUAUGGUGGAGUUUUAGAACUAAAAAAUCCUUGUGGUCUAAUUUCCUUUGGAACAAGUACUGUAAAAGGCAUAGACCUCAAGUGGUAGAUUGGAGAGGGGGGUCACAAACGUGGAAAUUAAUGUUGGAAGCUAGAGAUAUCGUUGACCAACAAAUUCGGUGGGAACCAAGAUGUGGUCAUUCUAGUGCUUGGUUUGACAAUUGGACUAAGUUGGGUGCCUUGUAUUUCUUGCUUCCCAUCAAUUACUCUUUCAAUUAUGAGGUGGAGGACAUUAAACAAUUGUUGAAAAACGGAUGCUGGAAUGUAGACUUGAUUAAUCAACUUUUCCCUAAAGACAUUUGCAUUCAUAUCCUGUCUAAAAUUGAUUAAAUGAUUGAAGAUGAAAGAUGGGAUCAUGCAUGGUGGAUGCCGAAUAACUCUGGCAAGUUCACUGUGAGCUCAUCCUGGGAAUUAAUCAGGCAUAGAGCUGACGAAAAGGAAUUAUAUAGGCUCUUGUGGGUCAAAGGAAUUCCUUUUAAAAUUAAUUUCUUCUUCUGGAGACUAUGCAAGCAAAGACUACCUGUUGGGGAGAUGAAUAGAAGUAUGGGUUUCUCUUACAAUGGAAUCUGCACCUGUUGCAAUGAUCAAGUAACAGAAACCUGGGACCAUUUGUUUGUUACUUGUCAAAAAUCUGCUAGAUUAUGGCAUGUUUUUUCUUCCUCUGCAGGUGUACCAGGUCCUUUUAUACAACUCAAAUAUACAAUAUACAGAUGGUGGAAUGCUAAAUGCAACACUAAGUUGAAACCUGUAUAUCAAGCUAUGCCAAUCUUCAUCCUUUGGCAGAUUUGGAAGGCAAGGAACACAGUAAAGAAUGGAGGCAAAUACUCUUAUUGGAGAAUGGAGAUGGAAGUUAAUACUAACAUCUCUCUAUUUGCUCGAAACAGAUACCCUUGGUUAAAUCAUAUGCCAACGUCAUGGCCUGAAAUAAUUCAGUUUUUGGAUCAGUAUAUGCCACCGAUUCAAGCUCAAGUCAUUACAUGGUCAGCUCCGAAACAAGGAGUAUAUAAGUGUAAUACUGAUGGCUCGUUCAAAAAGAAUUCUGGUACCAGCUCGUGUGCAUUCUGUAUUAGAAACUGGGAAGGUGAUUUAACUUAUGCAGAAUCAAGGAAACUGGAAGAAGAUAACAGUCUUAACGCUGAAGUCAUGGCUAUAAGAAUAGCUCUAAAACACUGCUUCAAUAAUCAAUUCACCCCAUUGAUUAUUGAAACAGAUUCUCUGAUUGCAAAGAGAGUUGUACAAGGUGUGUGGGAGGUACCAUGGACUAUUUCAGUAGAGAUAAAGAAAAUAAGGAGGUUAAUGGCUAAUAUGAUGGUGGCAGUAACACAUAUAUUCAGAGAAGGAAACAUACUAGCAGAUUUUUUAUCUAACUAUGUUCACUGUUUUGCAGGUACUAAGAAAUUAACAUUUAACUCUUUUCAGGAAUUACCAACACAGGCCAAGACAAUCCUUAAUAUGGAUAAAUCCCAGAUGCCAAACAUCAGAAUCAAGAAGUUCCAAAACAAGGAGUUCAACUGCUCAUCACCAACAUAAUACAUCAUUGUACAUCAAGUUUGAAGAUAAAGACGAACUACUAAGGAACAUUACGUCGAGGGUGUACUAUAGGUGAUCAAAUAACACUCUCCAUUCCAUCUUUUGGCAGUGGUACUAGUCUAUGACUCAUCCUGCUAGAGAAAAUGAAGAGUGUUCUUUGAUCAUUGAUAAAAAAACACUUGACCACACCUGUAAUCACUCAAUCUCCUUUCUGGGUGCUGCAAACUCCUGUAGAGGAUUUCGACAUUUGUUGUUGGCUGUGAAGUUUCAAACCAAGGAAUUCAUCGACCUACGGUUGUAUAUAUGAGGAAUUGAAGAUGUCUUCAUGGAUUAGAUUGACUUGGCAUUCGUGAGAGUUUUUGAAUGCCCUACGAGCAAUCAACCCAAAUUCCUCAAAAAAGAAUUGCUGGUAGAAGAAUGAUUUGAUUGGGUGCUCUACAAGCCAACUCCAUCGUCCUCAGUACACUGAUAUCAACUAGAGCGUCCUGCGAUGAAUAGCGAAAAGAGGAAUUUUGUUUGCUUAGCUUUGGUUUUUCUUUUGUCUUUUUUCGUAUUUUGCUUUGCUGUUUUUCUUUUUUUGUAUUUUCUUUUCUUCUCAACUUCCCCAGUGAUUGAUCCACUUCUGUUAUUGUUUCACUUUUUAAAGAAAUAAAAUACUUUUAAUUCAAAAAAAAAAAAAUGGAUCCUUACCUUCCAUGGACCCCAAGAAUCCUUUUUCAAUAUACAAGAUUUAUGAUUUAUGAAUUCCAUGUUUGAAUUAGAUUGAAUUCAUGUUCAUGGUAUUGUUUGACUUUUAAUCCAUGAUUUAGAUUACUAGUUCCAAAAAUUGAUUCUAG